UACGGAGGGGGCUAGCGUUGUUCGGAAUUACUGGGCGUAAAGCGCACGUAGGCGGCUUUGUAAGUUAGAGGUGAAAGCCCAGGGCUUAACCCUGGAAUUGCCUUUAAGACUGCAUCGCUAGAAUCGUGGAGAGGUAAGUGGAAUUCCGAGUGUAGAGGUGAAAUUCGUAGAUAUUCGGAAGAACACCAGUGGCGAAGGCGACUUACUGGACACGUAUUGACGCUGAGAUGCGAAAGCGUGGGGAGCAAACAGG
rnacentral:rRNA from 1 species